rnacentral:rRNA from 1 species
UCGUAACAAGGUNCCCGUAGGUGAACCUGCGGAAGGAUCAUUA